rnacentral:lncRNA from 1 species
AAGUAUUGCAGUAUAAAAUUAUUUUAAGGUCAUUUAUUGAAAAAUCGUUGUGUGUAAGUAUUUCUAAGCCAAUGAAGUGUGUCUGAAAGGUUAUGGUAAAUACUGUCAACAUGGAACUAUUAUUUUAUACAACGUAUACAUAAUGUCCAUUUAUAUAAUUAUAUAUGGAAGUUAAUGGCUUGUUGAAGUUAUCAAUAAUUUUGUAGAUAUGUUACCCUGAGCCUGGAUAUGGGUGGAAUAUGAAAAUUACAAGUAGGACAUUCAUUGCUAAAAUCAUACAUGGAAACUGUAAACUACAGGAUUUAUUAUACUUUUCUCAAAGAUUCUUAUAAUCAAAAAUGCAUCAGAAGAUGCUUGAUCUGAAACUGACAUUGUGUAAUAAUAAUUAUGUUAUUGAGACAUUUUGUCUAAAAUUUAAGUUGACUUGAACAUAGUUUGUUUACUCAUUGCUUUGUUCAUAUGAUAAAUGUAGCACUUUAAGAUUGGAAUAUUCCUAUAACUAUACCAAAACUUAACAAAUAAACUGCAUACAAAUUUAGAAAACUGAGAGAUAAAACAAUAAAAUUUAAACAGAACUUGAUAAAUGUGUUGAUACCAAUAUAACUUCAUGACAAAAAACAAGUGUCCUAUCAAAGAUCUAGAGAAUUCCUGUGACCUUAUCGAAAACAGUUCUUUCAAAUGAAAGCUUUGGCCUAUCAGAAUGAUUAAAAAAAUAUCACAAAUAUUGAAAAUGGAAUUUUAAAAUGAAUAUGUUUAUUUUGAACAUACAAUGUUUGACUUGAAAACUGAGUAUUUACAUUUUCCUGAAGUACAUAGAUAAACUUAUUAAGUAUUGAUUUGCUGUUUCAGAUUGGUACUUACAGUUUAACAGGUACGUUGGCACCUAGCUAUAGGAGGUCAAGAUUUUAUUCAUUGUGCACUUACAAUUAAACAUUGCCUUGUAUUAUUAAAAAAACAUGUUUAGUCUAUAAUUUGAGUUGAAUUAUCUCCCUUUAUCAACAACAUUAAGUAGCUUCAACUUCAUAAUUCUGUUGAACUUUUACAUCAGAAUAACAUAAAAGUUUCUGACAUAAUUUUGUGACAAAAUAUAGCACCAACUUUUAAAAAAAAUACAUAUUUUUCUUCUUUCUUUGAAAAAUAAGUGCACUGUUAAUAUAAAAAAGAAGAUGUGGUAUGAUUGCCAAUGAGACAACUCUCCACAAGAGACGAAAAUGACACAGAAAUUAACAACUCUAAGGUUGCAUUUAAAAAACCAUAUGAUUGCUGAGUAGAAACAUACUUAUUUUCAAUGUAGUCUCAAGUAAUUAGUGUUCAAAGGUUUAAAAUUGUUCAUUUCCUAGUUUUUAACUUUAAAACCAGAUGCUCCGCAGGGCACAGCUUUAUUCAUCUUUUUAUAUAAUCAAAAAUCUAAAAAAAUGUUUAGAUUCAGCAUAUCAAAGAACUACAAGGAUUCAAUUUUUGUUGAAAUUAAAAAAAGUUUAAUUGUGGACCUUGAUUUGGACCAACUUGAAAACUGGGCCCAUAAUCAAAAAUCUAAGUACAUGUUUAGAUUCAGCAUAUCAAAGAACCCCAAAAAUUCAAUUUUUGUUAAAAUCAAACUAAGUUUAAUUUUGGACCCUUUGGACCUUAAUGUAGACCAAUUUAAAAACAGGACCAAAAAUUAAGAAUCUACAUACACAGUUAGAUUCGGCAUAUCAAAGAACCCCAAUUAUUCAAUUUUUGAUGAAAUCAAACAAAGUUUAAUUUUAGACCCUUUGGGCCCCUAAUUCCUAAACUCCCAAAAUCAAUCCCAACCUUCCUUUCGUAUUCAUAAACCUUGUGUUUAAAUUUCAUGAUUUCAAUUUACUUAUACUAAAGUUAUUGUGCGAAAACCAAGAAAAAUGAUUAUUUGGGCCCGUUUUUGGCCCCUAAUUCCUAAACAGUUGGGACUAAAACUCCCAAAAUCAAUCCCAACCUUCCUUUUGUGAUCAUAAACCUUGUGUUUAAAUUUCAUAGAUUUCUAUUUACUUAAACUAAAGUUAUAGUGUGACAACCAAUGUUUUAGUUUAUAGUGUGAAAACCAAUGUGUCUUCAGACGACGACAACGACGAUGCCAACGUCAUACCAAUAUACCGACAAAAAAACAUUUGCGGUUGUAUAAAAAUCAAAUAAAAAGAAACCAUUCAUAUUACAGUAAAUAAAAGUUCUGAAUAUUUGCAUGUUCAAAGAAAAGUGGUAUUUGACUUAAUAAAGAAGUUAAGCUUUCGGGUUUUAAAGGGCAGCAUGUCCAAUUCGGAAAACAAUUGUGAUUAAAUGUAACUGCAGGAAAUACUGCAUACUUAUUAUGUCAUAUAAAUUAUGCCUUAUUAUUAAUGUGAUACUAGUCCAAUCACAAUUUCACACCCUAAAAUGUUUCUGGAAUGACAGCAAUCCAUAUAAAAAAACAUAUGAAAAACAUGAUAUGGACUGAUGCAGUGAUAGAUUGAUCUACGAAUAUGAAUUAGAAUUAAAUAUAGGAUAUAUCAUAUGUCAUGUAUAUGUAAAGAUGUGAAAAUUAAAACUAUUUUUUAUAUACAUCCCAUACCAUUUCUUGGAAUCUAAUUAUGCUAACUAAUAUUCAUGGGAUAGAAUUAGUUUUCUAUUUAAACUGAUAAUACAUUAUAUAUUAAUGCUCAAUAUUCAAACUGAAAUUUAAAUACAUUAAAA